GGAGAGGUCGCAUAGUGGCCUAGUGCGCGCGCUUGGAAAGCGCGUUUGUCCGCAAGGGCAACGAGGGUUCGAAUCCCUCCCUCUCCGCCA
rnacentral:tRNA from 1 species